GGUCUUUCUACAGCAUCCCAUACUCUUCCUUCGCGAGAAAGGGGGGACGGGGACGGGCUGAAGGGCCACCGCCCGCGCCGCCGGUCAGCUGCCACCACCGUCACCUCCGAGCGAAGUGUCGCGCGGGCGCGCUGUAGCCGCGCGGCGGACGGGAAGCGCCGUCUCCGUCGAGUUUAUUAGCUGGCGAGGUUACCGCUGGCCGCUGCAGCUUGCCGCCGCCGCCAGCCGUGCACCUGCCUGCCGCGUGCGCCCCCGGCUGCCGCUGGACACAGCUGGGCACGCGCCGCAGCAAGGUCACCGCGGCCGACAGGGCAAUUCCCCUCUCAAGGAGGAAAGCACAUAUGUGAGUCAGAUUCUUCUUGUUAAAUGUGAACCAGGGACAUGCAGAUGGAUGACGUCAUUGACCUUGUGUCAGAAGACGAUAUUGCUUCCUAUGAGGAGACAAGUUCUGAAGAUACUGAGGAUGUGAAAGUCUGUGACGUAUGUGGAAAUGUUGGUGAGGAGAAGAAGCUCGCUGUUUGCAGCAGAUGCAAUGAUGGUGCUGUGCAUAUUUACUGUAUGUUGGUAAUGCUUAAAGAGGUUCCAGAGCGCGGGUGGUUGUGUGAUGAGUGCCAAGCUGAGGUAGAAAUUGAAAUUGAAAAGAAGAAACUUGAGAAAUCUCAAGUAAAUUUUGUCAUGGUUUCCAUGGAGAAUAAAGUGGAUGCUGAAAAGGUGAAAGUAUGUGACAUUUGUGGAGAUGUUGGUGAAGUGGAGAAGCUCACUGUUUGUGGUAGAUGCAAUGGUGCUGAGCAUGUUUAUUGUAUGCAGGUGAUGAUGGAAAAGGUUCCAGAUGUCAUGUGGUUGUGUGAAGCAUGUCAAACUGAGGUAGAAUUUGCAGAGGAAAGGACGGAACUAGAAAAAUCCCAAGUAAUGGUUGGUGCAUGUAAACUAGAUUCCUUUGGAGGGCAAACGAAUAAACCUGUGGAUGAUGCAAAUAGCGGAAGUAAUUUUGAGGAUGAAAUGGAGGCUGCAAAUGUGAGUAGUAAAAACAACAUGAGAAAUCAAUCCAUCGGUAUGGCUACCAAGAGGAUAGGAGACGAUGCAACAAUUACGUUACUGAUUGGAAAAGAUCUUUGUGAAUCUGGUGGUGUAUCCAUGGAAGGUGACUCCGCAAAAAGAGCGCCGUUUUCGCGCAAAAAUUCACUCAAGCUGAACACAGAGAAAGGAAAGGAACCUGUUAGGCCAAUGCCAACGCCAUUGACAUUGAAUGCUCUGAAGAAUCAGGCACCACCUCUUUGUGGUCCACUCCCGAAGUCCAUUUCUUUCAAGAACUCAAAGGUCCCGAAGGUGAAACAACUGGUCAUUGAAGUUCCUCAAAAGCCCAAAAAUCUGAAGGAACCUAUAUCCUUAAUUACAAAACAAGACGGGCCAGUGAUCACACUUGCUAAGUCGACAUCAGUCAAAAAGCCAAACUCUAGCGAGCCAGUAAGUAAAGGAAAGUCUUCCAUCUUACUAGAUGUUGAGGAACCAAGAAUGAUGAAUUCAGUAAUGAGCCGAAAUGUAACGAAUAAGAGGGGCACUUCUAUAUCUGGAUAUCCCUCUGUUGCUGCAUCAAUGCUUGUGUCAGUUCCUUCGAAAGCAGAAUCCGCAGCUCAGCAUCUCAAUAAACAAAAUAAGAUGGAUAAUUUAGGCAUCGCUUAUGGAAAAGACGGUAGAAACUUUCCUGCACCUAGUGAACCAAAGAGACAGCUUGUAGCAAAAGUCCCGGGAAGCCUAACGUUAAUUAGUGCUGAGACAUCCUCAGGUCUGCUUUGUUCUGGUGCACAGAUGAAGGGAAUUCAAAUCCCAGAUACUUCACUGGUUGAUAAAAUAAAGAACCCACCUAGCUUGAAGCCAGGUACUUCUAGCAGCAGUUGCACAAUGCAUUGUCAACAAUGUGAUGAAGUGGGGCAUUCUACACAAUUUUGUCCUGUUGGCAGAUCUAGCUUGUUUGUAACAAAACCUUUGAGUGAGCAAACCAGUGACCGAACUGCCAGAUGCAAUAGAACAUCUGAAGCUACUACUUUGACUGCUACUGAAGACAUUUUGAAAUCAGCAUAUCAAUCUGAGCCAAGUCCAAAACGCCGCCGCUAUCAUAACCCAUCAUAUAAGCCUAUAAACGUUUUAUGUACCUCCAUUAGUCAUGAGGAAAGCAGUGAGCAGGAUGUGAGAAAUGGUAUGCCUACUCCUAGUACUACAGCUUCUGUCUAUUGUCACGAGCUAAAAUACAAAGAGCAUCAGGCUGUAUCUGCCAUGGGAGGAAGAUUUGUGGACAGCAGUUCAACUAUGUUGAAUGAUCCGACGGACAAAUCGCCAAUCUUUUCACCUAGUGAUGACAGAAUAACUUCUAGUGUUCCAGAGUUGGCUUACAUUUGGCAAGGUUGUUUUGAAAUAUGGAGGACUGGACGGCCAUCUAAGUUUUGUAAGGGCUUGCAAGGACACUUAUCAUGUUCUGCUUCACAAAAGGUUUUGGAAAUAGCAAAGAAAUUCCCUUCUAAAAUCCGGCUUGAGCAACUUCCUCGCCGGAAUAUAUUCCCCCCACAGUUCCAUGGAAAUGGCCUUUCGUAUGACAGUAUUGGUCUUUUUUUCUUUGCACAAGAUAUCCAGAGUUAUGAGAGGCAUUACAGUAAGUUAGUAGAAUGGAUGCUGAAAGGCGAUUUGGCACUCAGAGGAAACAUUGAAACAGCUGAAUUGCUCAUAUUUCCUUCCAAUAUCCUGCCAAAAAGCUUUCAAAGAUGGAACAUGUCCUAUUAUCUAUGGGGUGUAUUUAGAGUUAGAAGAAAAGACUCUAACCUUCCAUAUCAUGUACCCACAAGAAAACAUUGUAAUUUCAAUGGAAAUCUCUUGGCCGUGGGUCGAAGAACUCAUGCCCACGCUUCUUCUGGCCCCAGUUUCUAUUACUCACCUACUUGUGAAGACUCUCCAUCUAUCAUGCCCUUGGAAGCUAAUCAUGAGGGUUGCCCCAAUGGGCAAGAGAGGACAGCCGUCAACCAUGACAAUGCAGAGGACCUGUGGGGACCCGGUGUAGUUGACCUACAACGGCGACUGCAAUCAGUAUGUCGCUAAUUGAUAUCAUACGAACAUCCACACAGACCAAUCACGCACUUACAUUGCUGGGACCAGAUUGGUAUACAUGCAUAUAUAUAUAUACGUGUGUAUGAAGGAAUUCUUUGUGAAGUUUGGGUACGCUUAAUAUGAGCGCUGAGCGGAACAUGUUGCUUCUUCCCUUCUCGCCAACGAAAGCGGGAGCUCGCCUAGGCGGAGUGCGUAAGCCGUAAGUGGGUGUGUGCGUGCAUUGCAGCGGUGCUGGGCGGAAGAAAAGUGAUGGCCAGGCGAGGUGAGUGGCGAAGGGAGGGAGCAAAAUUGAGACAAAAAAAGAAGACAGGGAAAGGGUCUCAGGCUAGGGUUGGAAAACUUACCAGAUCAAGAGGGGUGAGGGUGGGACAGAAGAGAGCUUGGUUGGUGGCGACGAGCUCACCGCCGAGCAAGGACCCCCACUCUGUCGCGAGCUCCUCUUCCCCUGUUCGUUCCCUGUUUGAGUGAUUGGUGCUUUGCUGCUGCUUGGUUGUUGGCGUUCGAAUCACUUGUUUCACUAAUGUGAUGAGCCUUGACUGCAGUUUUUUU
rnacentral:rRNA from 1 species